CUAGGCUGGUCUCUUAACUCCUGGACUCAAACGAUCGAUCCUCCCACCUCUGCUUCCCAAAGUGCUGAGAUUAAAGGUGUGAGCCACUGUGCCUGGCAAAUAAGCUGACAUUUUGCUUGACACCUCCUGAGCCAAGGACACAGACACCCGAGAGAUGUCCACAGGCUGCAGAGGUCCAGCUCCUGUGACCAGGCAGCAGCCUCAGUGGAAGAGCACAUGUUCCUGGGCCCUACCACAGGCUGAUGUGGAGAGUCCCUCUGAUUGAAAAUGCCCAACUCAGGCCACUCCUGCCCGGGGGUGACUGUCUCGCAAUAAGAUACAGGGCCAGAAGGAUCCAGGAACACAGGAAGAGUUCGGCAGGGCUCAACAGGAGAACAGAAAAGAACUAAAAGCAGAGACACCAUGCAAACAUGAGGCACACACGCAACAGGAGACAGAGCAAACUGCAGGAAAAAAGAAGGGCCCUGUUAGCCACACACCGGCCUGUGGGCUACAAGCCCUCCAGUUACAGAGCAUGGGAAAUAAGGCCAGGUCAUGCCUGUCCUCACCUUUGAGUUAGGGCCGAGCUGGGCAGAGAAUCUGAUUGCCCUUCCCUCCCUCUUCAGUUCCUGCAGAUCACUUGGUUCUUUUGUGUUUUUUGCUUUUUGUUUUUUUUUUUUUUAAGACGGAGUCUCACUCUGUUGCCCAGGCUGGACUGCACUGGCUCGAUCUCAGCUCACUGCAAUCUCUGCCUCCUGAGUUCAAGCGAUUCUCCUGCCUCAGCCUCCCGAGAAGUUGGGAUUACAAGUGUGUGCCACCAUACUUGGCUAAUUUUUGUAUUUUUAGUAGAGACAGGGUUUCACCAUGUUGGCCAGGCUGGUCUCAAAUUCCUGACCCCAAGUGAUCCACCCACCUCAGCCUCCCAAAGUGCUGGAUUACAGGCAUGAGCCACCGUACCUGGCUGGCUUUGGGUUCUUGAAGGGAAAAGAAAAAGCCCCAUGGCAGACCGGACCUGACUGACGGGCAGGAAAUCUUAAUUCCAGACCUGCUUUCACCUCCUCACUGCCGGACCUGGAGCCAGGGCUGGCUGUCUCAGGGCCUCUGCCUACCAUUGCCAGGAACUCUCUGUUGCCAGUCUGUAUUUGGAGAGGCUGAAGGGAUGAAGGUCCUACCUCACUCUGGAGCCCUCCCCACAGGGCCCCAGCUUGCACCUCGUGCACCAGCUCCUUAGGGGGCAGUGUGCACCCCUGGAAGGACUCCCAAGGUCUGGGACUUGCGACUCAGGACAGACCAUUCCCUGCAGAUCAUUCAUCUGCCAAUUUAAGAAAUGGGAGAGAGACGGAGGCCCGUCUGCCUCCCCUGCCAGCUCCUGCUGAUUGCUGGUGGCUGCCUCCUGAGUUCUGGGGUCCCUCUCUUGACAGUGGUAAGAGUGCCAGGAACGGAGCGCGUUUGCUGCACACCAUUUGCCAUUGGUGCAUCGAGCACACUCCCAGCUCCAGGAUUAUGGGAAGACCUUUUUGGGGUACAGACUUCCCCUCCCUGCAACAAAGAGGAGCUCUUCCAUGGCCCCCACCCUGAGGGGCACAGGAGGUCCACGGCCUGGAAACUUCCUAUUUCCUGGGGCUGGCCCAGGGCUUCUAGUCUGGCCUUCCAUAAGGCAUGGGCCAGGAUGCUGGCCCUGGGGGCCUCUCAGCUCAGCCCCACGUGCCCCUCUGUGGACUCUCAGUCUCACGUUUGUCAGGGUUCUGCCAUUUAGAAAUGAUCAGCCCACCUCUAGACCAAGUGCCUGCCUGGAAUGUCCUGUCCAACUUAUCCACCAGCUCAUCCUUCCGGGCCUAAUUAAGGCCCCACUCCAUCUCUGAAGCCACCCCAUGCUCAUGACUCUCCCUGACGCAGGUUCCCGACACACCGGGUGACUCAGCUGCAGUGUUUUUCACAGUCCGUGAUGCGUCACAGCUAUUUAUAGGUGUGCUUAACUCCCUGUGAGGAAGCACUUCAACCCCCAAACGCAAGUUCCAGAAAUAUGCUCAUAAAGAUAAAGAUAGAGAAAAGCUCUGGAAAAAUACACAGUGCUGUUGCUUCAGGCAGAGUCCGUGUGUGUGUGUGUGUGUGUGUGUGUGUGUGUGUGUGUGUGCUUUCACUUUUUGCCUCAUACAUCUCAUUGUUUAUAAAAUUUAUCAAUAUUACAAAGUUGUAAACAAGGUUAUUUAAAAACAACAAAUUGGCUGG
rnacentral:lncRNA from 10 species